rnacentral:rRNA from 1 species
UACGUAGGGUCCGAGCGUUGUCCGGAAUUACUGGGCGUAAAGAGCUCGUAGGUGGUUUGUCGCGUUGUCCGUGAAAACUCACAGCUUAACUGUGGGCGUGCGGGCGAUACGGGCAGACUUGAGUACUGCAGGGGAGACUGGAAUUCCUGGUGUAGCGGUGGAAUGCGCAGAUAUCAGGAGGAACACCGGUGGCGAAGGCGGGUCUCUGGGCAGUAACUGACGCUGAGGAGCGAAAGCGUGGGGAGCGAACAGG